ACGACCGUAGCUCAGCUGGUUAGAGCACCACCUUGACAUGGUGGGGGUCGGUGGUUCGAAUCCACUCGGUCGUA
rnacentral:tRNA from 1 species